UACAGAGGAGCCAAGCGUUGUCCGGAUUGACUGGGCGUAAAGCGCACGCAGGCGGAUGCGCGCGUGGGGUGUGAAAUCUGGCCGCUUAACGGCCAGGCGCCAUCCCAUACGGCGCGUCUGGAGUGAUGCAGAGGUCGAUGGAAUUGCCGGUGUAGUGGUGAAAUGCGUAGAGAUCGGCAGGAACACCCAGGGGGAAACCAGUCGACUGGGCAUCUACUGACGCUGAGGUGCGAGAGCGUGGGGAG
rnacentral:rRNA from 1 species